CCAUUCAAGCUCCACUUCCAUAAAUUCAAGCCACCAUUAUUCUCCUCCCAGUUAAUCUCCUCCACUUCCACAAUUUCUUUUUCAUUCUUGAUUCUUGGGAAACUAAUCUUGGUCUCCAAGGUCUCACCUUUAUCCUCAAAGUUAAACUUGCCAGCAUCAAUUUGAGGAGGCACAAAACUUUUGCUUGUUGGGGACUUGGGAGAGUCCAUUUUCAUGUCGACAAAUUCAUUUUCCUUCAUUUUCUUGAAGAAAACUUGGGAAACCGGAUCUUGAUCAGCUUCUUUUGAAGCUAUGUCAGGACCUUUGACUUCUGGCAUGAUCACAGAAGGCAUCACCCUUAUGUCAAUAGCCUUUGAUUUGUCCUCUUGAUCCUUACCAGUGGUGAUUCUUGUUGGUUCCAACUGAAAUGGAACUGGGACAAGUUGAUUAGGCACCAUCCUUGUGUUUCUUGGAGGUGAAGAUGGGCACACAAAGUAGUUCAUAUCGAACACACUUUUUGAAUUAGAACUGCGUUUGCUUGCUGCAAAAUUCUUUUUUUCACCAUCUUCAUGGUAAUCAAGAAAUCCCCCAUGCGGCAGAAUUUCCCAUUCUUCAAGAUCCAUUUCUAAGAGGGAAAAUUUUUUCCUUUUUCGAUCUUGGAAAUGGAAUUGGAACAAAGAGAUGGGUUGAUAUAAGAUGAUUAUGAACUAGGGGUUGAAUUAAUGAUCAAAGAAGGUGGGCUUUUCAUGGAGUGUUGUGUGGAAAUUUCAUUAGUAAAGAGCGCUAAUUAAGGCCACCGCAGCUUGGUGUCUUCUAGCGUCGUUGGAGUAUUCAGAUUGAAACCAG
rnacentral:misc_RNA from 1 species